UCUGAGAGGAAUUUUCUUCAUGUCCUCUGAGUUCUGUCUCAGAAUCACUUCAGAUAUCAGUAGGAAAUUCCUCAAAAGAACAUUAACUCACAUGAACGUCAGCACCGACACAUCAUACUUUACUAUUUAGCACAUUAAUCUAGGAGCAUUUAUGCUCAAGCUUCUUUAAUCUCCUCUGAUUUGACCUUAUCAGUCGUGAUGUUGAACUUUCUGGAUCCAUUCACCAUCAGUCCACUCACACAUGAACCCAGUAAAAGAAACAACACACUGUAAAUCUGUCUGUUAUCUGCCUUUGACUCCAGCUGACGCCCUGGAGGAGAACAUCACAUUUUUAAAACAAAUUGUUCAUUGUUUAGUUUUAACCUCAGCUGUGGACCGAUUGUUUCCCUUGUUGGCACAUUCACAUCAAUUUGAAAAAGAAAAAAAACAUAAUUUUUUAAACUCAGGCUCCCAGUCUAAACUGCAGAUUACACCGAGGUCAGUGUGGAACCAGGUGGCGGCUGCCGCGUCCUCCGUGCACACCCUGAUGUCCCCUCGGAAACUCACCGACCGCUGGUGAACAAACUCAGUACACACUAAAUACAUUAAAUCCUACUUUCACUACAGCUCAGUUCACUUCCUUUUAUUUCCGCUCAUUCAGUUUGGAUUCAAACAAAUCAAUUUCGACACACACACACAGGCCUAUGAUUGUUUUUCACAGUCAAAUAGUCGAAAUAGUUUCUUUAUGAUCUCGUCAAGCACGGACACUUUCAGGCAAAAACAAAAGAAUGACUCUAAAGUUCCAACUCACCGGCUCUUAGCUGUGUUUCAGAUCCUAUUCCUGACUUUGCUGAUUUGUGAUGGAGCUUUUCUGGACUGGAAGCGGGUGGGAGCAGAACUCAGGCAGCAGCUGAUGAGCAGGAGAGUUACUGAAGACUCGACGAAUCAAAGAGACCAGAAUAUAAUAUACCAACCAAGUCUGAAGAUGUCCCCCAAGUCUGAAGAUGUCUCCACAGCUCCUGAUUGAAUCUCCCUCACCCUGCUUCACCCGUUCAGACAGCACGUCCAUGAAAGGCUGCAGCCGCCGUCACAUGGAGAGCUUCUUUCCAAACGUCUCAUUGUGACACCUGCAUGAGAGAAGGUGGAGAAUCCCUGAUCUGCUCCUCGGAGCUGGAGGAUGGAGUCUGCAGACGGUUCAGCGCCCACACAGGACGCAGCCGCCUCCCAUCACUUUGCUUUGAUCAGAUCACGUGGGCAACUUUCCACUGGAGCGUUUGGAGCAGCCUUCAGAUAAGCUUCAGUUCACAGUGCGUCAUGAAGGAGAAGGUAGAGAUCUGGAUUUAUCACUGGCUGACAAACUUUUAAAACCCACUCAUGGUCUGUCAGAUUUAAAAUUAUCUUUAUAAACGUACUUUCACAGCGGCUGUUUCCCGCCUUUCUGCUCCAUCAGAGACUGAAUUAAUCUUUAACGUAUCAUAUAAGAUGAUGGAUGUUGUGUUUUUUAAUCACACUCUUGUAAAAACCGAUGAGCACCUCUGUCUGGAUUCUACACCAGCGUGCAAGUUCUCUGUUUUUAUUAUUCCUGUGUCCCGGGUUCCAGUGUUUUUGUGUCCGGAGUUAAGCCGCGUUCUAUUUCAGAGGCUUCACCGCCCGUGCAAGCAAAACACUUGAAUGGAAACACUCGGGUUCCUUUUAAUAUCCUGGAAUGUUUUCAGAUGAAACUUGUGGAAAUUAAAGAAACUCGACGGAG